rnacentral:rRNA from 1 species
GAUGAACGCUAGCGGCAGGCCUAACACAUGCAAGUCGAGGGGUAUAAGUAGCAAUACUUAGAGACCGGCGCACGGGUGAGUAACGCGUAUGCAACCUACCUUAUACAGGGGGAUAGCUCAGUGAAAACUGAAUUAAUACCCCAUAAAGCAGGGGUACCGCAUGGUACUAUUUGCUAAAGAUUUAUCGGUAUAAGAUGGGCAUGCGUGUCAUUAGCUAGUUGGUAAGGUAACGGCUUACCAAGGCUACGAUGACUAGGGGGUCUGAGAGGAUGAUCCCCCA